rnacentral:rRNA from 1 species
GACGAACGCUGGCGGCGUGCUUAACACAUGCAAGUCGAACGGAAAGGCCCUGCCUUUGUGGGGUGCUCGAGUGGCGAACGGGUGAGUAACACGUGAGUAACCUGUCCUUGACUUUGGGAUAACUUAAGGACACUGGGGCUAAUACCGGAUAGGAGCUCUUGCCGCAUGGUGGGGGUUGGAAAGUUUCGGCGGUUGGGGAUGGAAUCGCGGACGAUCAGGUUGGUGGUGGGGUAGUGUCUUACCAAGGCUUUGAAGGGUAGCCUGGCUGCUCGGGUGACCGGCCACGUUGGGACGGGAAUGCGACCCGGACUACAACGGGAGGCAACGGUGGAGAGUAUUGCACUGGGGGCGGAAGCCUAGUGCGGCAAAGCCACGUGCGGGAUGACAUCCAUCGGGUAGUAAAGCACUUUCGCCUGUGACGAGGCGUUAGUGACGGUAAUGGGUAAAGAAGCACCGGCUAACUACGUG